rnacentral:rRNA from 1 species
GACGAACGCUGGCGGCGUGCUUAACACAUGCAAGUCGAACGGAAAGGCCCUGCUUUUGUGGGGUGCUCGAGUGGCGAACGGGUGAGUAACACGUGAGUAACCUGCCCUUGACUUUGGGAUAACUUCAGGAAACUGGGGCUAAUACCGGAUAGGAGCUCCUGCUGCAUGGUGGGGGUUGGAAAGUUUCGGCGGUUGGGGAUGGACUCGCGGCUUAUCAGCUUGUUGGUGGGGUAGUGGCUUACCAAGGCUUUGACGGGUAGCCGGCCUGAGAGGGUGACCGGCCACCUUGGGCCUGAGAUACGGCCCAGACUCCUACGGGAGGCAGCAGUGGGGAAUAUUGCACAAUGGGCGGAAGCCUGAUGCAGCAACGCCGCGUGCGGGAUGACGGCCUUCGGGUUGUAAACCGCUUUCGCCUGUGCCGAAGCGUGAGUGACGGUAAUGGGUAAAGAAGCACCGGCUAACUACGUG